rnacentral:rRNA from 1 species
CUUUGAAACCAGGACGCCAGUUUUGGCGGAGCCAUCCUUGGGAUACCACCCUUGUAGUACUGGGACUCUAACCAUAGGCCAUGAAUCUGGUCUUGGGACACUGUCAGGUGGGCAGUUUGACUGGGGCGGUCGCCUCCCAAAAGGUAACGGAGGCGCUCAAAGGUUCUCUCAGUACGGUCGGAAAUCGUACGUAGAGUGUAAAGGCAAAAGAGAGCUUGAUUGCAAGACAUACAGGUCGAGCAAGGAUGAAAAUCGGACUUAGUGAUCCGGUGGUUCUGCGUGGAAGGGCCAUCGCUCAACGGAUAAAAGCUACCCUGGGGAUAACAGGCUUAUCUCCCCCAAGAGUCCACAUCGACGGGGAGGUUUGGCACCUCGAUGUCGGCUCAUCACAUCCUGGGGCUGUAGUAGGUCCCAAGGGUUGGGCUGUUCGCCCAUUAAAGUGGUACGCGAGCUGGGUUCAGAACGUCGUGAGACAGUUCGGUCCCUAUCCGUCGCAGGCGU